rnacentral:rRNA from 1 species
AGAGUUUGAUCCUGGCUCAGGACGAACGCUGGCGGCGCGCCUAACACAUGCAAGUCGAACGGAGUUGAUUUUUCUGAAGUUUUCGGAUGGACGAGAGAUUAACUUAGUGGCGAACGGGUGAGUAACGCGUGGGUAACCUGCCUUUCAGAGGGGGACAACAGUUGGAAACGACUGCUAAUACCGCAUAAGACCACAGUACCGCAUGGUACAGUGAUCAAAGGAGCAAUCCGCUGAAAGAUGGGCCCGCGUCUGAUUAGAUAGUUGGUGGGGUAACGGCCUACCAAGUCGACGAUCAGUAGCCGGACUGAGAGGUUGAUCGGCCACAUUGGGACUGAGACACGGCCCAGACUCCUACGGGAGGCAGCAGUGGGGAAUAUUGCACAAUGGGGGAAACCCUGAUGCAGCGACGCCGCGUGAGGGAAGAAGGUAUUCGUAUUGUAAACCUCUGUCUUCGGGGACGAUAAUGACGGUACCCGAGGAGGAAGCACCGGCUAACUACGUGCCAGCAGCCGCGGU